GUCUAUUACGGUGAUAUUUAUAGUCUAGCCUGCUCAGUGACAUAAAAGUGUUAAAUAGCCGCGGUAUCCUGACCGUGCAAAGGUAGCAUAAUCAUUAGUUUUUUAAUUGGAAACUAGAAUGAAUGGUUGGACAAGAAAAAAACUGUCUCUUUUAUUAAAAUUGAAAUUAACUUUUAAGUGAAAAGGCUUAAAAUUUACUAAGGGGACGAUAAGACCCUAUAAAGCUUUAUAAAUUCAGAGAUUUUAGAUAUUUUAUAUAUAAAUUUAUUUUUUGAUAAUUUAUUUGGUUGGGGCGACAAGGGUAUAAUUAUAAAUAACUGCCAUUAAUGUUUAUACAUAUAUUUUUGAUUUAAAUUUAAUAUAGUAGUUGAUCCUUUUUAAGGAUUUAAAGAUCAAGUUACUUUAGGGAUAACAGCGUAAUUUCUUCUGAGAGUUCUUAUCAAAGAAGAAGUUUGCGACCUCGAUGUUGAAUUAAAAUGUCUUUGUAGUGCAGCAGCUAUAAAAGAAGGUCUGUUCGACCUUUAAUUUUUU
rnacentral:rRNA from 1 species